rnacentral:ribozyme from 1 species
UUUUUAUUUCUUUUUUUUCUUUUUUUUUCCCUUUUUUUUUCUGGCGGUUGCCAUUUUCUUCCUC